CUUUAACUGGCCAUUCACGAUGGGUCUGGGACUGCGUGUUCUCGGUCGAUGGUGCUUAUCUGAUAACAGCGUCUUCUGAUUCAACUGCGAGGUUGUGGAAUAUGGCAACGGGGGAAGAUAUCAGGGUGUACCAAGGACAUCACAAAGCAAUUGUCUGCUGUGCUCUCCAUGAUGGCGCUGAGACGCCUACUUGAUUAUCGAGGUUGUGUGCUCCCAUUCUGUACAUAACUGUGUUUU
rnacentral:misc_RNA from 1 species